rnacentral:tRNA from 1 species
GCCAGUUUGGCUCAAUGGAUAGAGUGUCAGCUUUCUAACUGAAGGGUCGCAGGUUCAAUUCCUGUCAAGGGUA